CUAACAGCCAAAGGCAGGUAACAGAUGAGGGAGUCAAGAUGUAGCUUGGAAAGAGAGACCAGAUUGAUGGUGGAGAUUUUUACCAGCCAAAAAUAUAGUGUAAAUAUAGGCCUGGCUUGAAUAGGUUUAUGUCAGGAGUAGGAAAUCCUAAAAUUGAGAUAAUGUAAUAAUGAGUAGAGCUGGGGUAGGUGUCCAUGUCUUUGCAGGAAGCUGCUUUCUGUUGAUACCAUUACUUGGCCUGUUGACUCCUCCAUGGUUUUCUCACUUGAGUUUUCUGCAUUCGAGAUUGUGGAGCUUGUUCAGUUUCUUUGCUCAAAUGCAGGUGUCAGCAGCCUCUACAACCACCGUGUCCUCUCACAUCCUCUCCUUUCUGCCAGCUUUCAACACACCGGCAACUACAGCUGAGAUCAUGGAGCCUUUGGUUGUUCCCAGUUCUGAGGAUGGUGUGACCUGAACCCUAGAGUAUGUUGUGGAGGAGGUGCAGUCCUGGAAUCGACAGCAGCAGCGGCUGGACACGUACUCUGUCCGCCAGCCCCGGCCGGCAGCGUCUGGAGGAGCUGCAGGGAGGUUGCCGGGUCCGUCCCCGCUGGCGGCAGCAGCUCUUCACUCUCCCUGAGCUGGAAGGGGAUCGGAUCCCUCCUGGGACUCUCCCCUGCCUGCCCAGGCCAGGUCCAGAUAUUAUGCAGCAGGAAUUUGCAAAACUAAGCCAUGCCCUGAACCUGGAGGGGGAAGAUGGAGACUGGGCUCAGGUCCUAGGUCUGUCUGCCAGUGGGCACCGUGCUGGUUGCAGUGGAGACUGAGGCAGGACUUAUUCCUGUCACCAUGAAAAGAAAUAAGAGGAGAGGAAAAAUAGGCACCAACUGCACACAUUAUACAUCCCAACCACUGGACCAAGAGUUGCACCCCCCACAGCUCUACAAGUGUCAUAAACACCCCACUGAGCCCCCAGGUAACCGCCUGGCCUGUACCAUGGGCUACAAACUGAACUUGUUCCCAAAUCCUCCCAUCCCACCCUCUUGAUCAAAAUAAUCACAGUCCAGCACAAUACCAGAGGAGCUGUUUUGUAGAAUGUUUUUAUUUCAGUGUAAAGUAAAAUGUCAUUU
rnacentral:lncRNA from 1 species